rnacentral:rRNA from 1 species
GACGAACGCUGGCGGCGUGCUUAACACAUGCAAGUCGAACGGAAAGGCCCUGCUUUUGUGGGGUGCUCGAGUGACGAACGGGUGAGUAACCCGUGAGUAACCUGCCCUUGACUUUGGGAUAACUUCAGGAAACUGGGGCUAAUACCGGCUAGGAGCUCCUGCUGCAUGGUGGGGGUUGGAAAGUUUCGGCGGUUGGGGAUGGACUGGCGGCUUAUCAGCUUGUUGGUGGGGUAGUGGCUUACCAAGGCUUUGCCGGGUAGCCGGCCUGAGAGGGUCACCGGCCAAAUUGGGACUGAGAUGCGGCACAGACUCCUACAGGAGGCAGCAGUGGAGAAUAUUGCACAAUGGGCGGAAGCCUGAUGCAGCAACGCCGCGUGCGGGAUGACGGCCUUCGGGUUGUAAACCGCUUUCGCCUGUGACGAAGCGUGAGUGACGGUAAUGGGUAAAGAAGCACCGGCUAACUACGUG